CCCUUAGAUGUCCUGGGCCGCACGCGCGCUACACUGACAUGUUCAACAAGUUUCUCCUAGUUCGACAGGACUGGGAAAUCUUUGAACGCAUGUCGUGAUAGGGAUAGAUCAUUGCAAUUAUUGAUCUUGAACGAGGAAUUCCUAGUAAACGCGAGUCAUCAGCUCGCAUUGAUUACGUCCCUGCCCUUUGUAUACACCGCCCGUCGCACCUACCGAUUGAAUGUUUCGGUGAAGAUUCCGGAUAGGACUGAUUUGAUUUAUUUCAUUUCUGACCUAAAAGCUAUCUAAACCUCAACAUUUAGAGGAAGGUGAAGUCGUAACA
rnacentral:rRNA from 1 species